rnacentral:rRNA from 1 species
GCCUACGGGGGGCAGCAGUAGGGAAUCUUCCACAAUGGGCGAAAGCCUGAUGGAGCAACGCCGCGUGGGUGAAGAAGGUCUUCGGAUCGUAAAACCCUGUUGUUAGAGAAGAAAGUGCGUGAGAGUAACUGUUCACGUUUCGACGGUAUCUAACCAGAAAGCCACGGCUAACUACGUGCCAGCAGCCGCGGUAAUACGUAGGUGGCAAGCGUUAUCCGGAUUUAUUGGGCGUAAAGAGAACGCAGGCGGUCUUUUAAGUCUGAUGUGAAAGCCUUCGGCUUAACCGGAGGAGUGCAUUGAAACUG